CAGCAGCCGCGGUAAUACGAAGGGUGCAAGCGUUACUCGGAAUUACUGGGCGUAAAGCGUGCGUAGGUGGUGGUUUAAGUCCGUUGUGAAAGCCCUGGGCUCAACCUGGGAACUGCUUCUGAGACUGAACGACUAGAGUACGGUAGAGGGUGGUGGAAUUUCCGGUGUAGCGGUGAAAUGCGUAGAUAUCGGAAGGAACAUCAAUGGCGAAGGCAGCCACCUGGGCCUGUACUGACACUGAGACACGAAAGCGUGGGGAUCAAACAGGAUUAGAGACCCCUGUAGUCCCUGUCUCUUAUAU
rnacentral:rRNA from 1 species